rnacentral:misc_RNA from 1 species
GAAAUGCGAUAAUUAAUGUGAAUUGCAAAAUUCAGUGAAUCAUCGAGACUUUGAACGCACAUUGCGCCCCCUGGUAUUCCGGGGGGCAUGCCUGUCCGAGCGUCAUUGCUGCCCUCAAGCACGGCUUGUGUGUUGGGCUUCCGUCCCUGGCAACGGGGACGGGCCCAAAAGGCAGUGGCGGCACCAUGUCUGGUCCUCGAGCGUAUGGGGCUUUGUCACCCGCUCCCGUAGGUCCAGCUGGCAGCUAGCCUCGCAACCAAUCUUUUUAACCAGGUUGACCUCGGAUCAGGUAGGGAUACCCGCUGAACUUAAGC